rnacentral:rRNA from 1 species
CCAGACUCCUACGGGAGGCAGCAGUGAGGAAUAUUGGUCAAUGGGCUUACGCCUGAACCAGCCAAGCCGCGUGAGGGAAGACUGCCCUAUGGGUUGUAAACCUCUUUUGUCAGGGAGCAAUUGGCGCUACGUGUAGCGUUAUCGAGAGUACCUGAAGAAAAAGCAUCGGCUAACUCCGUGCCAGCAGCCGCGGUAAUACGGAGGAUGCGAGCGUUAUCCGGAUUUAUUGGGUUUAAAGGGUGCGCAGGCGGCACGGCAAGCCGGCGGUCAAAUCGCGGGGCUAAACCCCGCCCAGCCGUCGGAACUGCCGGGCUAGAGUGGGCGAGAAGUACGCGGAAUGCGUGGUGUAGCGGUGAAAUGCAUAGAUAUCACGCAGAACUCCGAUUGCGAAGGCAGCGUACCGGCGCCCAACUGACGCUGAAGCACGAAGGCGUGGGUAUCGAACAGGAUUAGAUACCCCCGUAUC